GUUUUGAUGUAAAUUUCAGAAGACAUUUUACAAAGUGCAUGAACAUAUCAGCACUUUGGCUCUUUCUGUGGUCCAUCCGGGAGCAUGCAAUGUCCUUGACCCACAGAUGAUCAUGCUGUGGUGUCACACGGCCUAAAGAGAAAACCACAGCCAUCCAGACCUAAGGAGGUGGAAGAGAAGAAAGGUC